rnacentral:lncRNA from 1 species
CUUGGUUUCUUCUGGGGUCAUGAUCUCAGGGCAGUGGGAUGGAGGCCUGGGGCGGGCUCUGCUACUCUACUACUCUGGGUAGUCUGCUUGAGAUUCCCUCCUCCUGCUGUGUGUGCUCUCUCUCAAAUCAAUCAAUCAACCAAUCAAUCCAUACAUCCAUCCAUGAAUUUUUUUUUUUUUUUAAGAUUUUAUUUAUUUGACAGAGAUCACAAGUAGGCAGAGAGGCAGGCAGAGAGAGGAGGAAGCAGGCUCCCCGCCAAGCAGAGCCCCAUGCGGGGCUCGAUCCCAGGAUCCUGAGAUCAUGACCUGAGCCGAAGUCAGAGGUUUUAACCCACUGCGCCACCGAGGUGCCCCUCCACCAAUCCAUCUUUAAAAAGAGACACAGACGUCUCCUGUCUCCCGUCUUGAAGAACUUACAAAUUAAAGUAGGCAAACAUAAGCAAAUGUGGCAACCUACCCACUUGAGGUCCCCUUGAACUUCCUGCGCCACCCCAGUCUGGGCCAGGGACAAUCUGUGGACCCAGCAGAUAAAUGACUGUAGCUGAAGCCACCGCCUGUCUUCGUGUUCUACUGAGAUCAGGGCUCCCACCCCGCGCUCUCUACUGUCCCUGGUGGCGGAAACCGUCUUACCCCCAGCCCCACAGUGGCGCUGAGGAUGCGACCGCCUCCCAGCCGCUGUUGCUUGGACUACACUUCCCAUGAGCGGUUUCUCAACAUCGCGAGAGCCCUCGCGAGAUGUCCGAAAAGACCUUUGCGCAGGCGCGGCCCCGCUUUCUUUUCUGAGGCAGGCCGCGUGGCCAGGAGACAUGGCGGCUUCUCUCUGGGAAGAACGGAACGAGCAGUCUCGGGCCUUUGGCUGGGGCUUUUCUUGGGCGUCUGCGGAGACCCUGAGCGCCAGACCUGCAGGCUGAAGCUUAAAAGUACCAGAUGGAUCCCUGAAGUGGGUAAGGACGGGGCCCGGCAGGACCUGCGCGGACCUUCCGCACGCGAGGAAGUCCAGGUGGUGGGAAGGCCUGCCUCUCACUUUCUUCUGCUGUUCAGUUCGGUUUUAGGAGCACGUGGACGCCGGAGUCUCGUUGGGGUACAGUCCCAGCCUUGGUUUCCAAGGCUGGAAAGGAUCCUGCGGAGGCAGAUGGUGGCCAAGUCCACGGCCCUGGGCCCGAAGCGGAGACUUGUAUGUUCCCUCCUCCGCGACGCCAGAUGGAGCCGCGCUGCGUCUGUGCGAACUGUUCAUGCCCAUAAACUGAGGCCCCAGAGGGAGAACAGUUGA